UACGUAGGCAGCGAGCGUUUGUUCGGAGUUACUGGGCGUAAAGGGUGUGUAGGCGGUUAUUUAAGUUUGGUGUGAAAUCUCCCGGCUCAACCGGGAGGGUGCGCCGAAUACUGAAUGACUUGGAGUGCGGGAGAGGUGAGUGGAAUUCCUGGUGUAGCGGUGAAAUGCGUAGAUAUCAGGAGGAACACCGGUGGUGUAGACGGCUCACUGGACCGUAACUGACGCUGAGACACGAAAGCGUGGGUAGCAAACAGG
rnacentral:rRNA from 1 species